AACGAACGCUGGCGGCGCGCCUAAUACAUGCAAGUCGAACGAGAAGACGUAGCAAUACGUUUGUAAAGCGGCGAACGGGUGAGGAAUACAUGGGUAACCUACCCUCGAGUGGGGAAUAACUAGCCGAAAGGUUAGCUAAUACCGCGUACGCUCCUUGGACUUCGGUUCAGGGAGGAAAGCGAUACCGUGGGUAUCGCGCUCUUGGAUGGGCUCAUGUCCUAUCAGCUUGUUGGUGAGGAACGGCUCACCAAGGCUUCGACGGGUAGCUGGUCUGAGAGGACGAUCAGCCACACUGGCACUGCGACACGGGCCAGACUCCUACGGGAGGCAGCAGUAAGGAAUAUUGCGCAAUGGGCAAAGCCUGACGCAGCGACGCCGCGUGGGGGAUGAAGGUCUUCGG
rnacentral:rRNA from 1 species